CGCGGGGUAGAGCAGUUGGCAGCUCGCUGGGUUCAUAACCCGGAGGUCGUGGGUUCGAGUCCCACUCCCGCAA
rnacentral:tRNA from 1 species